GCUAAUACCGCAUAACGUAUCGGGAUGGCAUCUUCCUGAUACCAAAGAUUUUAUCGCUUAGAGAUGGGCUCGCGUCUGAUUAGAUAGUUGGCGGGGGUAACGGGCCCACCAAGUCGACGAUCAGUAGCCGGACUGAGAGGUUGAACGGCCACAUUGGGACUGAGACACGGCCCAGACUCCUACGGGAGGCAGCAUG
rnacentral:rRNA from 1 species